GCGGAAGGAAGAGUAGAAAAGAGAGAGAAAGAAAAAAGAAGUUUCCAGGUAUGCAUAACAACGCGAAUUCACUCUCGAGGGGGAAAGUAGCCGCGUUUAAAACGGCGUAAAGAGGAGCGUCCGUCCGAAAAUUUCUAUGAAUAUUUGCCGGGCUUGAGUAUUGUCUUAAAAUAAGCUUGUGGAGCUGGUAAGACGCUAAGAAAAGGGAGGGCACCGUUUUGUUUACUGGAUCCGCCGGGUUUAAAGCCUCUCUCUCUUCCCCCCAGAGGGAAACCUGAGCCGCAUCGCUCCCCCCAAAUUGCUCGUUCGAAACGUUAAGGCGGAUUAUGCGCGAACGAAAGCGAGCAUUCACGCCGUUUUAAUCGUCGCGGCGAUUUCCGUGGCGGGAAUUUUAAAUUAUCGAAAAUUGUCAUUGCCGAAUUUCACAGUCGAAUCGAAAGGAUAGAUGUUGCAGCAUGUUUCAAAUUCGAAAGAAAAUGAGCUACGAACUGCUCUCCUCUCGAUUUCUUUGUCGAACUUCUCUGACGAACUAUUAUACUCGCUCGAGGAUUCGAAGCUUUCCAAAAGCUCUCCGCGUUGAUUGCGGGCUUUGAAAAAUGUCACGGCCACUCUGUUAUUCCCCCGGGAAGAGCGGAAUAACACUAGGCGAGCAGCGAUGGGGGAAAUUUAAUAAACUUGCUUCGAUAAUUUAUCGUUCGAAACAAAACAAUAAUAAUAAUAAUCGCAAAUAAUUGUAGUGGCAAAUGGUAAAACUUAUUUUUAACUUUAAAUUACUUUCUCAACUUUCGGAUUAAUCCCCGAAACUUCGCUUUUAUAUACGUGCAAUUUCAUUUCUACAAUUACACGUAGCACGAGAAGCGUAUUUUUUGGAUCGUCUUCCGUUCCAGAAAUCUCGAAACGAACGAAUUUGAUAAAUGACCCUUUAACCUUUAUGGUUGUACGAAAAUGUUAUUCCAUGUUAUUUUAAAUAAAUCCUCGAAAUAACUUUUUCAACGAGUUAAUGCCCAACUCUGGAUGCAAGUGGUGGUAUAAUCUUGGAUAUCGUAUUUUUAUUAUCAAUUUCGUUCAAUUAUCAUCCCGUUCUUCAUUUAUAUAUAUUCUCUAUCACGUAUUUAUUCUUGAUUCUGAAUGUCUGGGCGGGUAUUUUUCUUUUAAAUUGGAUAUUUCCUCUGUACAAUGCGGGGAAAUAAAUUGCUGCCACCUCCCCCCCCCCUCUCCCCUCCUUUUUCCUGUUAAUUACGGUGGCAAAAAUGGAAAAGAUUUUUUUCUGCAAACGAACUCAAUAAAAUAAAAAU